GUUACUUGUUGAUUCGUGCUAGUCCAUACCACUAGGUUAGUCAGAAUCAUUAUGACUAAUUAAGGAAGAGACCUGAACCUAAAAUCUCCUCAAUCAAUUAUUAAGUCUAGUGAUCUUCCACCAUUGUAGAGAUGCAUAUGCCUUCCUAGCAUUGAUUAUUCUUGGCUAGUCACAGUGGUUUGGUUGCAUCGGGAGGGUAUAACCACUCUAUGGUAUUGGAUGCCCCAG
rnacentral:lncRNA from 1 species